rnacentral:rRNA from 1 species
ACGAGGAGGCGAGCGUUAUCCGGAUUUACUGGGCGUAAAGCGCACGCAGGUGGCCUGGUAAGUUGGCCGUGAAAGCUCCCGGCUUAACUGGGAGAGGUCGGUCAAGACUGCUGGGCUUGAGGUUGGGAGAGGGGUGUGGAAUUCCCGGUGUAGUGGUGGAAUGCGUAGAUAUCGGGAGGAACACCAGUGGCGAAGGCGGCACCCUGGCCCACACCUGACGCUGAGGUGCGAAAGCGUGGGGAGCAAACAGG